UACACGAGACAUUUGAGGGGGUAGAGACUGGGAUACACGCUGCAGUUCAGCAUUUAACAUCUCGUAAAUAGGUCUCAAGUUACCAGGAAUAUGACUACGAUCUCCAGCAGGAUAUGUCAAUGGUGCACUAGUUGAUGCAGCGGUAGAAGAACGGCCUGCAGACGUUGCAAUUGGAGGUCGUGAAACUGCUGAAGAGCUUGGAAGCGCAGUACUGACAGGAGGUGGUUGAGGAAUUUGAGGUCUUGUAGCAGAAACUGGGGGUAAACGGCUGGAAACGGGAGGGAGUUGAGGUGUCACGGAGGGAGAAAGAGCGGAUGGGGAAGGAACGCUGACGGUUGGGGGCUCAUAAGCAGAAGCUCUCUGAGAAGCUGUGGGUGGUAAAGGCACCACUCGGUUAGCGGGUUGUUUAGGAGGUGGAACUAUCUGAGAUCCGCCAUGAGGCUUGUACGUAUGAGCAGGGUUAACAGUUGAAGAAGCCACUGCAAUUGGUGUAUAAGGGUUUGAGGGAGGCAUGUUUGGAGAGGAAGAAAUACGAGAAGCAGCAGCAACAGGUGACUGGGGUGCUACAGGUGUAUAAGGAUUUGGAUGACUGGGUUGUUGCACUGGAGGAACACGCGUACCACUUGCCGUAGGAGGGUGGUAAGUCUCACCGACCUUAGGAGGAGGUGGUGAUGCUAUAGCGGGAGCGCUUGCAGUCAUGGAUGCAGUAGGAGGAGGAGGAGGAAGGGUGCUAACGCUGCUAGUACGGGACAUUGCAGCUGGUUGAGCACUUGAAGCACCAGGGAAUGGGCUUCUUACCGGGGCCAUAGAAGGAGCAGCACGUCUCAUAGGUAGCUGACCAAGCAUGGGGGCAUCAUUCCAUCCAGCAGUGGUAGACGUACUGGGAGGAGGAAGUGGGUGGACAUCAGCAGGCGUUAUGUGGGAUGAUGUUGUAGCAUAAGGCGAAGUAUAUGAAGUCGUUCGUGGCACCGUUGGAAGUAUGGAGGACGCUUGAGAAGUUUUGGGUUGUACAGGCGCAUAUCCAGUUUGCUUAAUUUGAUGGAUAGGAGGGACUGCAUGGGGCUCAAGCAACAUGGUCAAUCUUUGAAUUUCUUCUUUUGCGCCAGGGAACUCUGUAGGUACAAGAUU